AGAGAGAGACAUGCGCGCAUAUCAAUAAGCGGAGGAAAAGAAACUAACUAGGAUUCCCUCAGUAACGGCGAGUGAAGCGGGAAGAGCUCAAAUUUGAAAUCUUCAAGGUUUUACCUCGACGAAUUGUAGUUUAAAGAAGUGUUUUCUGUUGGAGUUUUGGUAAAAGUUCUUUGGAAUAGGACAUCAUAGAGGGUGAGAAUCCCGUAUUUGACCAUUACUUUCCAACUUUGUGAUACACUUUCAAGGAGUCGGAUUGUUUGGGAAUGCAGUCCAAAAUGGGUGGUAAAUUUCAUCUAAAGCUAAAUAUUGGCGAGAGACCGAUAGCGAACAAGUACCGUGAGGGAAAGAUGAAAAGAACUUUGAAAAGAGAGUUAAACAGUACGUGAAAUUGUCAAAAGGGAAGCGUUUGACACCAGUGUUGUUUUCUCGAAAAUCAAUUAAAAAAGGCAGGAUUUUGUGUUGUAUUGACUUUAUCAGCUUUCUGCACUCUUUUCUUGUCUUUUUUAAUGCACUUUUCGUUUAACAAGUCAACAUCAAUUUCUUUUGUUGUAAAAGGGUCAUUGGAAGGUGGCUUUCUUUUCGGAGAAAGUGUUUAUAGCCUUUGGCCUCUGCAAUCGGAGAGAUUGAGGUCUGCAGCGUAGAUCCUUCGGGGUUAGAUACAUUUGUGCUAAGUUAUAGCCUUUCAUAGACAACUUGUUGACUAUGAUCAGUCAUGUAGCUUACUCGCUUAUGCUAUUUUACCUACGCUUAGGAUGUUGAUGUGAUACUGCGAGC
rnacentral:rRNA from 1 species